UCGACAUCGGCGAAUUUCAUCAAAAACCUCACUCACCCAAGAGCUCCCAACAAAUCCCUACCGCAGCCAAAAACUCAGACCAGACCAGGUUCAUCUGAGAGCCGUGAGAAAUGAAACCAAAAAUGCCGAGAAGGUCCAAGGCCAAAACCGCCGCAUCCAAAUCUGUCGCCGCCCCGUCCCGCAGCGUUUCGUCGGGCAAUGCCUCGCCGUUUUUUUUCGACCUACGUGGCGCCGACGGUUCAUUGGGCUCUUCUCCUUCCCCUUCCGUUAACCCUCCUGCUUCCAGCCCUACAAUCGAUGCCUCGCAUUCACGAGGCCCUCCUAGAUCUUUAGUUGCAGCCGAGGACGAAACAACGACUAAUCGACUCAUUAUUGAUCUCAUGGAUAGCAGAUUGCGUGAAAAUGCCCUUGCCCAUCUUGCUAGGAGAGCGCGGGGAUUCCAGGAUUUUGCCGUACGCUUAUGGUUUUCUUUUGGUACAAUUGCCAUACUCUUACAGGAAGUGCUUUCCGUGUAUCCAUUUUUGUCACCACCAUCUCUAACUCCCAUACAGUCUGAUAGAUUGUGCAAUGUUCUGACACUUAUUCAGUGCGUUGCCUCUCACCAAGAGACUAGAUCUUUGUUCGUUCAAGCCUACUUGCCCUUCUAUUUGGUUUUGCUUCUCAACCAGAUAGGUGAAUUGAGGUGUUUUGAGCGCAUAAGGAUCCUUACACUGGGAAUAAUAGCUGCUCUGGUACAGGUAGCGACAUUAAUUCUGAAAAGAAUUUUGCUUGAUGAUAAUGGGUUACAACAUGUGUGUCGGAGGCCAGAUUUGUUAUUGUCUGUGUGGCAAGCACUUGGGACUGUGGUUGCUUCACUUUCUCAGCUGCCUUCGACUCCACUGCUAAGAGAUGUCAUCACUUGCUACCUAUGCCUCUUUAAAAAUGAAAGAAGUUUAGCACUGAGGCAGUCGCUUCCGAGAAGCCUUAUUGAUGGCACAUUUCGCUACUGUUGUAACGAUUAUCGCACAAGAUUAUUGCUUCAAGAGUUGUUGGACCAGACCCGAUUAUCUCCAAUAGCCCAAAAAGAUCAUUACAAAAUUCAGCACGGUAUUUCCACCAUCUCAACGAGCACUGUUCUUCAGAGGCUAUUGACAUUGAUUGGUUCAAGGGUUCAAUGCCAGACGUUACUUGGAAUGUCAUUCUCGCAUCAAAAGGGGAUUUCCUUCUAAUUUCCUGCUUUUCGAUUAACUUCAGUAAGUGAUCCUUUUGAUUCAGUAGCUUCAAUUGCUUGUUGGUUUCUAUCUAUACUCAAUAGUAUAAUAUUGCAGUAGCCUCAAUUCUGGUUGGAAAUUUUGCUGCUUUCAUCACAAUUUUGGAUAUUUGAACUUUGAUUCUGUGAUAUUUGUAUAGAUAAACUCGAUAAUUUUGUUUAGCUCCAUCGCUGCUGGGCAUUUCCAUGUAUUUCAGAGGAAGUUACGAUUGAGGACUGUUAUUUGGUGUAGCAGUGUUUCUUGUUUUGAUCUCAUUCUCAAACCUUUGUUGAAUUGACCCUCGAUUGAUGGCGCACAAAUAGCCCAUGCGCAUACUUAAUCGUGCACAUACACUCUUCUGACUUAUCAAAUGAGUGAAAGUGAAGCAGAAUUAUCACUUAUCUCAGAGACUAUAACCUUGUUCAUCAAUCUUUACAUAUCACUUGGAAAUUCAUAUUUUACUCACCUUUUUUUCUCCUGCUCUGUCACAUUAUUUUGAUAAAUGGCAAGUGUUCGUGCUCCAUUGCCUCAUGUGGUAUUGGCACUUGACCGCUUUCCAGACAUAUGUAUCCAUUUAUGUACAAAUAAGGGGUGUAUAUGCUUUUUUAUAAUCAUGUGUGCGGUGUUUGCACAUUACAGAGAAGGAUAGUCUCCGAAUUUUCCAUAUUUCAGGUUGAUAAGUAACCUUUUCUGUCUAAUUUGCUUAUUUAUUGUUCGCCAACUCAAUAGAGCAAGGUGAGGGAGAAUGGAAAUGGGAAUGGGAAUGGGAAAUCUUCUUUGACUGACAUGGAAGGAAGAACUAAAGCUGGCGAAGCUCUCCGAGCCUUUGGGGUCGCAAAAUUUGGGAUUCAUGCCAAAGCAUGAUAUGUUGAAAUGCCACGGGAGGGGAUAGUAUCUACUUUGGAUGUAGCAGACCUUCGGAGCCUUGAUCGAUGUAUGGACAUUUUUUCUAUCAUUUCUCUCUUCUCUUGAAGAAUUUGCAAAACAAGAGAGCGAAAUUCUUCAUAAUUCUUGAGAGAGAGGAGAGAAACAACAUAAAAUUGCAGCAGUAAUCGAUUAGGGCAUCCAAGGCCAAUGCUGCUGCUGCAUCCAAAGUGGUCACUGCCCGUCUCGUAGCAUUUUUCCGAUCAAGCUUUACCGGUUCUUCUUCCCAGUACUCCAUGGCGCCUGCAGCUCAUGUUUCUUGUAAAUUUACACCUGAAAUAAUUGCGGAUUUUCAUUUUGGCGAAUCGCAAGUACCAAAGACAAUAAUUGAUUAUGAAGUUUAAAUAUGUUUAUGAAAGUAGUAUUUUAGUAGUAA